rnacentral:rRNA from 1 species
GACGGAGGGUGCAAGCGUUGUUCGGAAUUACUGGGCGUAAAGCGCGUGUAGGCGGCUCUCUAAGUCUGAUGUGAAAGCCCGGGGCUCACCCCCGGAAGUGCAUUGGAAACUGGAGAGCUCGAGUCCCGGAGAGGAGGGUGGAAUUCCUGGUGUAGCGGUGAAAUGCGUAGAUAUCAGGAGGAACACCGGUGGCGAAGGCGGCCCUCUGGACGGUGACUGACGCUAAGACGCGAAAGCGUGGGGAGCAAACAGG